UCGCUGUCCCGUGCACCUCUCUCCCCUCCCGGCCGGCGCGCUGGCUGGCGCGCUCGCUCGCUCAGCCUGGGACUCGACGAGUCCUCAACAAGUUGGGGGAAGGCAGGAACGCAGGGGUUAACCCUGGAAAGCCGCAAUUGCCAAGAUCGUGACCCUCCCACACAGAACAGUAACUUAUAUACUUACCUGGAAAAGCCUGCUUUGCCGCUGGGCAAACACUUGUGGGGGGCGGGGAGGGGCGCGAGAGGAGCGGGCCUGUUGGCGAGCGGCUCCUUCCAGCUGGCUGCAGUGCGGACCGGACCAGCGCGCUCCCGGGGCCUCCGGACCCAGGUGCUCAAACCUGUCCUGACACCUGGAGGUCUGCAUGAGGGGUGGCCACCGGAGGAGGGCGUCUCAGAGGUCGCAGGAGCUGAAGGGUCCAGUCAAGGGAGCUCUGGAGUCCCAGGAGUCUCCUGAUGAAGAAAGAAUUUAAAGAGAUGCCUAAGUUCCAGGGAAUUUUCCUCUAAGACUAAUAACAUCAAGAUAGUUUUGAUUUUAUUUAUUUAUGGUCAUUGUUUUUCUCUACAUGAAAAAAAAAAGUGUCAUCUUCAGAGAUCCCGGUUAGAAUUUUUAAUUUUCCUUGUGCCGGUUGAAGAAGAACCUCAAACCUUGGUGCUGCUUUUUGUUUAUUUCAAGAAGAAUUUCAGCUGGUGCUUGAAAACUUAUGCCUCCUAUAAAACCAAGAAAUAUUUUUUUACACGGUGUAUAUUCAAGAUAUCUUCCAACUGACAGACAUUCCACCGAACAAAGAAGUUGGGCCAUUUUUCACUAUACAUUUUUGGUUAAAUAUGUGAGAGCUAUUGUUUUGAAAGUCAACCAUAGUAAUAAUAGCCAAUUCAAAAAACGUCCUACUGAAGACUCAACUUGAUUAAUAAUGAACAACCCCAUUCAUGAGGCCAAAGAGCGUGUUUUUCAGCCUCCACUUUGUGGGUCUGGACAAGAACUGCAACAAGGAAAAACAGUGUUGCUCAGUAAUGGUAUAAGCCCAGUUGAUCAACAAAAUUCAAGGAUGUAUACAGUUUUGGGGACCUUGUGACUAAAGCUUUGCUUUCCAGGUUUUAAUCUGGAGGGAGCGUAGUUUAUUAAAAAUGGUCGAAAAUGAAGUAUUCCAUACAAGGUCUAGCUUCAUCCAUAGAGCAAUAGCAAUGGUUUGAACAGUAAGUUGACGCUUAUUAGAGUUUCUGAUUCAAUCGUGUAUUUUUCUCCUUUUUAAAUUUAUUUUCCAGUUUUAUCGAGAUACAAUUGACAUACAGUACCAUAUGUAAGUGAGGGUGUACAGCGUGAUGACUUGAUGUACAUAUAUUACAAAUGAUCACCACAGUAGGUUUAGUUAGCAUCCAUUACCUGAUGUGUUUAUAAAAUAAAAUGUUUUUUCUCGUGAUGAGAACUUCUAGAAUUUACUCUGAGCAACUAUCAAACAUACCGUACAGCAAUGUUAACUGUAGUCAUCAUAUUACACAUUCCAUCCCCAGUAAUUAUUUAUCUUAUAACUGGAAAUUUGUCCCUUCUGCCCACCUUAGACCAUAUUUUUAACUCUUUGCAGUCUGCCAUUUAGCCAUUGGAAAGAAUAAGGAAGAAAGAAUAUUCUUCAAACCACAUGAUUUUUCAAAUAGCCUGUUAUUUUAUUGCCGUAUGAAAUAAUCAAUAACUUUUUAAAAAAGGGUUUCAGCAACAUGUAGUUAAAUCUUACAUUUAACAAGUGAAACUAUCCCUGCAUUCCUUUUCUUCUCUAAAAAGUGUUGCGUUUAAGUAGCUGCCUUUAAAGAGUUAUCUUUAAACAGCAAUGUGUUUUAAAAAUCCCAGAUACCUUUUCUUUUUGUAUAAAGAGGUAAAAC